AGCGCAGCUGGCAGCGCGUAGGUCUCAUGAUCCUAAGGUCGUGAGUUCGAUCCU
rnacentral:tRNA from 1 species